GGAAAGCUUUGGCCCUCAUCAAUUUGGACAACCUCUACCCCGGGACCGAGCAAUUUCACGUCGUGGUGCUUCUCCGUCGCGGCAGCCGCGGUACCUCACGGUCUGUCCUCGCCAUCGCUCCAACCCCUCGGUAUGACCCUCGACUACCUUCACCGUGAUUAUACGAACGUGAUACACCUUUCUGUACUGAAUCGGAGCACCGUAAGCACCUAGUGGGGGGCUCGCCGGACUUCUCCGCCGUAGAAGUGUGGAUGAGGCGCUGCGUUCGACCUCGGGUUAGGGAAAACGAAGCGGAGUCGUAGAUCUAUGAUCGGACG
rnacentral:lncRNA from 7 species